UACGUAGGGCGCAAGCGUUAUCCGGAAUUAUUGGGCGUAAAGAGCUCGUAGGCGGUUUGUCGCGUCUGCCGUAGAAAGGUCCGGGCUCAACUCCGGAUCUGCGGUGGGGUACGGGCAGACUAGAGUGAUGUAGGGGAGACUGGAAUUCCUGGUGUAGCGGUGAAAAUGCGCAGAUAUCAGGAGGAACACCGAUGGCGAAGGCAGGUCUCUGGGCAUUAACUGACGCUGAGGAGCGAAAGCAUGGGGAGCGAACAGG
rnacentral:rRNA from 1 species